GUGAGUGAAGUACCAUUCUCAGCUUUUUGAAAAUACUUUCGUUUCUUUACACAAAUGUGUCAAGAAAAAUAGAAACUAGAAUCAGUUUUUGCUUUUUGCAAACAAACGCCACCUGAGACUUGAGAUGAGAGAAUGAGUGGUGAAGAAGAAUAUGAGGUAAGGACUGGAGGGAGCUAUAGUAGUAGCCGGCUAGCCACUGUUGCUGCAAAUACAAACGACUAUGUAGCCGUUGGUACUGCAAAAGCACUGAGCGGAGGUCAUAGAUCCGUAAUUGGGAGGGCAGCUAGCCGUUGCGGUGCAAAGAACAGCAGGCGCGUGACCCGAGUUGAUUCGCGGGUCGAACAAUUCACAAAAAUUAGCGGCCCGGUUCUAGUUUUCAACUUGACGACUCAGAUUCAAUUCAUUAUUUUUAACGAUUUCGGCCGAAUCUAUUCAAACCUGCUCCUUCAUCGAAUUUCAAGGCGGUCCGGUUCAAAACCACUCAUUUGGCCAGCACUGGUUAUAAAUAUUGAGAAGAAGAUUACAAUAGAUCUGAUGGAAUGGCACAAUACAAAGGGUAAAGUAUAGAGAAGAUCAAUUUUAAGGAGAGAAUAGCAUGGUUGCAAGUUGUUCCACACGUACACCAUUUUGUAAAUAUAUACUUCGACAGUGAGAGGCAUGAUGGAUACUGGAGUUCACUGAAACAUUCAAAUACUUGGAAGGACUCGGAAAGAUAAAUACAAUACCAAGAGAAGCAGAAGGAGAAAUGAAAAGCAGAGAAUGAAUGAAGAAAUUAAAGAACUAACCUUCUGCAUAAAUUGUAUGGUUAAAAUAGAGGAAGAAGCAUGGCGAUUCGUGUCACCAUCUUUUACAGAGAGAAGAAUGGGAAUGGGAUGGAGAAUAUGAAGAAUGAGAAGUGAUGUAUUUAUACAUGAUCUGCAAAGAAAGAAAGCCAAGAAUGGGGAUUUGAUAAGAGGGGUUGGAGGAAAGUUGAGAUUGUUUUGACCUUUGCAAAUAAAUGAGAAAGAUAUGUCAUCAUUUGACUACCUCCUCUUCUUGUGUAAUCAAUUCUUACUCAUCCAGCACUGUUCCUCUCUCUAAUAUUAAUGUUUGGAAUCAAUUCAUCAUAAUCAUCUUGAUGUGUACCA